UAUUCUGAAAAGCUUACCGCUCC
rnacentral:snRNA from 1 species